AAAAAAUUUACCUUCUUACCACCAAUGCCCAAACGUCCAUCAAUGCCCAGCAGAACCUUUUGUCUUCUACUCAUCUUUGGCUAACGAUUCAGCCUUCAUCAGCCAUGGCAGAAUUUUGUUCUUCCAUUUCUGGGUAAGAACUGCCACCUAUAACGUCCCCUUAUACCUUCUCUCUAAUGAGGUCAACACAAAAGGCCAAAACACCUCUGAAAUUUCUGAGAAAAAUCAACCCUAGGAGAUUCAAUUUUGAUUUCAAACAGCAAAUUCGUAUAAAAUCCAGCCCAAAACUUUGAAUCCGAAAAAAAGCCUAUUUUGUAUCUAUAAAUACUAGCAUUUGGAGUCCAUUUGGACCAAGGUUCUGGCCGCCACUCUUGCUCUCAAAAACUCUUGUUUUCUUCUCGUUUCUUACCUCCUAAAAGUUCAAUUGCUUGCUGCCAUCUUUUUUAUAUAUAUAAAAAAUACUCAAGUUCGAGGUCGGAUUGCGUAAGAUCUAAGACCCCCGCACCCCGUUCACUGCACCAUUAAAAGGUUAAUUAUGCAUAUUAGAAUAGUGUUGAGUUGGUCAAGUUAAGGCAGUGAUUAAUGAGAGCUAUUAUACUAAAAAAUUGGAAGAAAAGGCCAUAUCAGUAUUGCCCCAAAAUGGAGACGCGAUGUUUUGCAAGAAAGCUACAGCCGCCUAAAAGGGAAAAGGAGUGGCUGGUGAGGCCACUGGCUGUGCUUAGCGAGUUACCAGGGCUCGGGGCUAGUCCCAGAGUGAGAGCCCAUCUCAGAUUUCGCAUACCCUGCCUCCCGCACCUGCUCCAAAUCCUCAGCUAGAUGCACCGGCCCAGGAUAUGCGAGAUGCUAUGCAGUUAUUGACCAGAUUGAUAGCCGCUCAGGCACAACGUCAGGGAGUUGGUAUUGAUCAGGUAGAACGAGCUGGUAGUGUGAGGGUUAAGAGUUUCCUCAAGUUAGAUCCUCCAGAGUUUUUCGUGUUGAAGCAAAAUAUGGAUCCUCAGGACUUUAUUGAAAUUAUGCAGAGGACUUUGGGAGUUAUGCACGCCUAUGAGGUCGAGUCAGUGGAGCAAGCAUCUUAUAGGCUCCGUGAUGUUGCGGUGCAGUGGUAGCAGACAUGGGGGCUAUCUAGGGAAGAGAAUGCCCCUCCAGCCGUUUGGCGAGAGUUUUCAGAUGCUUUUAUUCGUCAUUAUUUACCACCAGAAGUCCGACGGACUCGAGCAGAUAAUUUCUUGUAUAUUGAGCAGGGCAGCAUAUGUGUUCAGCAGUACAGUGUACACUUCGAUUCAUUGGCUAGAUAUGCCCCAGCUAUUGUGGCUGAGAUGGAAGAUCGAGUUCAUUGUUUCAUGGCUGGUCUAGGGCCACAUUUGAUAGAUGAAUGUACUACAGCUGCGUUACAGCCGGGGAUGGAUAUUUCCCGUAUACAGGCAUAUGCACAGAAUCUGGAAGAUCGUAACCUUCAAUGGAGUACCGAGCGUGAGCGUAACCGGAGCCAUGAUAAAAGGGCUAGGUCUUUAGAUAUUGCUGGUGAGUUCAGGGGAAGACAGAGACAGCCGCAUUCCCGGUAUUCAUUUCAUUUAGCAGGGGGUGCAUCUUCGUGGUUUCCAGGCCCUAGAUUUGAUCGGUCUUCUUAUUCCGGAGCGGGUCAGAGUUCCAAAGCUUCAGGUUCUCAGCUUAGACGGAAGUCAGGUCAGAGGAGACCACCGGUACCGCGGUGUAUUCAAUGUGGUAGAUUACACUCUAGACGGUGUCGACUGGAUAAUAUGCUUGUUAUGCCUGUGGCCAGCCAGGUCAUGUGAUGACAGUGUCCCAUUGAGGGGUGGUGUAGGUAUUAUUCAGCCUACCGGCUCCGUAGCUGGUUCUUCUUCAACAGUACGCCCUUCAGGGCAAGAUUCUCAGACACCAGUAGGGCGUUUUAGAGAGAGGAGUGGAGCAUCUAGUUCGAGCGAUUUAUGCAUUACCUGGUAGAUAGGAUCGCGAGACGUCUCCUGAUGUUGUUACAGGUGUAACAGCAUCGAUUGGUCUCAAGAACCAGCAUACAACGACAAAGCCCUGUCAGAUUCAUUUGAUGUUGUGUGUGUUGAUAAUCUGCCACAACAGAGACAUGGGAGCAAGGAUUGUGGGGUGUAUGUGGUAGCGUAUGCGGAGUAUUUGAGCUGGGGUGUUGGUAUUCCGAUCGAAGACUUUGACGCUAAUUUACUUCGUACGAGAUAUGGUGCACUUCUUUGGAGCUAUGCUAUGCGGAAGCAAGAAGACGAGGCGAUAAGUGAUAACGAAGCACCACCAAAGCUAGUUAGGCCAAACAUACAUUCUGAUAUAUGUGAAAAAAUCAUCAUUAAUUAGUUUUACGCAUUUCAUACUGUUGUACUAUAGUUGACAAAAAUAAAAUGAAUACAAAUUAUUGUACCUCUGAAUCCAUUUGAAUCCCAAAGUAUCACAUCCAAAUUGUAUGCCUUCCUGUUGUAUGCCA